rnacentral:rRNA from 1 species
GUCCUUAUGUAGGAUUAGUGACCAGCGGAGGGACAUUACAGAGUUGCAAAACUCCCACAAACCAUCGCGAAUCUUACCCGUACGGUUGCCUCGGCGCUGGCGGUCCGGAAAGGCCCUCGGGUCCUCCCGGAUCCUCGGGUCUCCCGCUCGCGGGAGGCUGCCCGCCGGAGUGCCGAAACUAAACUCUUGAUAUUUUAUGUCUCUCUGAGUAAACUUUUAAAUAAGUCAAAACUUUCAACAACGGAUCUCUUGGUUCUGGCAUCGAUGAAGAACGCAGCGAAAUGCGAUAAGUAAUGUGAAUUGCAGAAUUCAGUGAAUCAUCGAAUCUUUGAACGCACAUUGCGCUCGCCAGUAUUCUGGCGAGCAUGCCUGUUCGAGCGUCAUUUCAACCAUCAAGCUCUGCUUGCGUUGGGGAUCCGCGGCUGCCCGCGGUCCCUCAAAAUCAGUGGCGGGCUCGCUAGUCACACCGAGCGUAGUAACUCUACAUCGCUAUGGUCGUGCGGCGGGUUCUUGCCGUAAAACCCCCCAUUUCUAAGGUUGACCUCGGAUCAGGUAGGAAUACCCGCUGAACUUAAGCAUAUCAAA